ACGAACGCUGGCGGCAGGCUUAACACAUGCAAGUCGAACGGUUGCAGCAAUGCAGCAGUGGCAGACGGGUGAGUAACACGUGGGAACCUUCCUCGGGGUACGGAACAACUCAGGGAAACUUGAGCUAAUACCGUAUACGUCCGUGAGGAGAAAGAUUUAUCGCCCUGAGACGGGCCCGCGUCGGAUUAGCUAGUUGGUGGGGUAACGGCCUACCAAGGCGACGAUCCGUAGCUGAUCUUAGAGGAUGAUCAGCCACACUGGGACUGAGACACGGCCCAGACUCCUACGGGAGGCAGCAGUGGGGAAUCUUGGACAAUGGGCGCAAGCCUGAUCCAGCCAUGCCGCGUGAGUGAAGAAGGUCUUCGGAUUGUAAAGCUCUUUUGCCAGGGACGAUAAUGACGGUACCUGGAGAAUAAGCCCCGGCAAACUUCGUGCCAGCAGCCGCGGUAAUAC
rnacentral:rRNA from 1 species